UACAGGGGGGUGCAAACGUUUGCUCGGAAUUAUUGGGCGUAAAGCGCGCGCAGGCGGUCCUUUAAGUCUGAUGUGAAAGCCCACGGCUCAACCGUGGAGGGUCAUUGGAAACUGGGGGACUUGAGUACAGAAGAGAAGAGUGGAAUUCCACGUGUAGCGGUGAAAUGCGUAGAGAUGUGGAGGACACCAGUGGCGAAGGCGACUCUUUGGUCUGUAACUGACGUGAGGCGCGAAAGCGUGGGGAGCAAACAGG
rnacentral:rRNA from 1 species